GUCGCUCCUGGGAGCCAAGAUGGCGACGGCGACGGCGUCCUCAGCGAGUAUUCGGGAAAGGCAGACAGUGGCUUUGAAGCGUAUGUUGAAUUUCAAUGUGCCUCAUGUUAAAAACAGCACAGGAGAACCAGUAUGGAAGGCUUUUGCACUCUGAUCGAGAUCCUAUUCCAGAUGUUCCUGCAGUAUACUUUGUAAUGCCAACUGAAGAAAAUAUUGAUAGAAUGUGCCAGGAUCUUCGAAAUCAACUAUAUGAAUCAUAUUAUUUAAAUUUUAUUUCUGCUAUUUCAAGAAGUAAACUGGAAGAUAUUGCAAAUGCAGCAUUAGCAGCUAGUGCAGUAACACAAGUAGCCAAGGUUUUUGACCAGUAUCUCAACUUUAUUACUUUGGAAGAUGAUAUGUUUGUAUUAUGUAAUCAAAAUAAGGAGCUUGUUUCAUAUCGUGCCAUUAACAGGCCAGAUAUCACAGAUACAGAAAUGGAAACUGUUAUGGACACUAUAGUUGACAGCCUCUUCUGCUUUUUUGUUACUCUGGGUGCUGUUCCUAUAAUCAGAUGUUCAAGAGGAACAGCAGCAGAAAUGGUAGCAGUGAAACUAGACAAGAAACUUCGAGAAAAUCUAAGAGAUGCAAGAAACAGUCUUUUUACAGGUGAUACACUUGGAGCUGGCCAAUUCAGCUUCCAAAGGCCCUUAUUAGUCCUUGUUGACAGAAACAUAGAUUUGGCAACUCCUUUACAUCAUACUUGGACAUAUCAAGCAUUGGUGCAUGAUGUACUGGAUUUUCAUUUAAACAGGGUUAAUUUGGAAGAAACUUCAGGGGUGGAGAACUCUCCAGCUGGUGCUAGACCAAAGAGAAAAAACAAGAAGUCUUAUGACUUAACUCCAGUUGAUAAAUUUUGGCAAAAACAUAAAGGAAGUCCAUUCCCAGAAGUUGCAGAAUCAGUUCAGCAAGAACUAGAAUCUUACAGAGCACAGGAAGAUGAGGUCAAACGACUUAAAAGCAUUAUGGGACUAGAAGGGGAAGAUGAAGGAGCCAUAAGUAUGCUUUCUGACAAUACUGCUAAGCUAACAUCAGCUGUUAGUUCUUUACCAGAACUCCUUGAGAAAAAAAGACUUAUUGAUCUCCAUACAAAUGUUGCCACUGCUGUUUUAGAACAUAUAAAGGCCAGAAAAUUGGAUGUAUAUUUUGAAUAUGAAGAAAAAAUAAUGAGCAAAACUACUCUGGAUAAAUCUCUUCUAGAUAUAAUAUCAGACCCUGAUGCAGGAACUCCAGAAGAUAAAAUGAGGUUGUUUCUUAUCUAUUAUAUAAGCACACAGCAAGCACCCUCUGAGGCUGAUUUGGAGCAAUAUAAAAAAGCUUUAACUGAUGCAGGAUGCAACCUUAAUCCUUUACAGUAUAUCAAACAGUGGAAGGCUUUUACCAAGAUGGCCUCAGCUCCUGCCAGCUAUGGCAGCACUACCACUAAAUCAAUGGGUCUCUUAUCACGAGUCAUGAAUACAGGAUCACAGUUUGUGAUGGAAGGAGUGAAGAACCUGGUGUUGAAACAGCAAAAUCUACCUGUUACUCGUAUUUUGGACAAUCUUAUGGAGAUGAAGUCAAACCCUGAAACUGAUGACUAUAGAUAUUUUGAUCCCAAAAUGCUGCGGGGCAAUGACAGCUCAGUUCCCAGAAACAAAAAUCCAUUCCAAGAGGCCAUUGUUUUUGUGGUGCGAGGAGGCAACUACAUUGAAUAUCAAAAUCUUGUUGACUACAUAAAGGGAAAACAAGGCAAACACAUUUUAUAUGGCUGCAGUGAGCUUUUUAAUGCUACACAGUUCAUUAAACAGUUGUCACAACUUGGACAAAAGUAACACAGAAGAACCUUACUAUGAUAAUCUACUUGGAAUGUGGAUAAAUGUAAAAAGAAAAUAAAUGUUUCCCUCUCUAUAACAAUGUCCUAACAGUGAAAUUGAGAGUUGUUUGCUAAUUUUUAAGGAAAUUCUAUACUUAAUAUAAUAGGUAUUGAUUAAAAAAAUAAAACAUUUCAGAAA